GGAAUGAAGUCUGUUUUGCUGAUAUGCGGUUAUUAGUUUGAGCUGACAGCCCUGAGUUCACCGUGAGCAUGGCUCCCAAACUAAAGCUGUGAUGACACACAGAAGUGUGACUCUCUGUUCAUACGGUCAGCGCAGUGUGACGCGUUCUGAAGCGUGUGCAUGUGUUUGAGCAGGACAGCAGCGUGUUUCUGGAGGAGGACGACGCAGGCAGCGUGUGCUCGGAGGACCAGACGCAGCCGGCCGUCCGGAGCGCCGCGUGGGAGGAUGAGGACGAUGAGCAGGAGGAAGAGAUUGACAUGAAACAUCGGUUUCGCAGAGACUUUAAAAAGAGUGAAGCGGAAAAUAAAAUGACAAAACAGAGGCUACAGCAACGCCUAAAGGAACAGUUUCAGAAAGCCAUGGGCGGCACACCCA